GCAGAUGGAUGAGCCUGCGUUGGAUUAGCUAGUUGGUGGGGUAAGGGCCUACCAAGGCUACGAUCCAUAGCUGAUUUGAGAGGAUGAUCAGCCACAUUGGGACUGAGACACGGCCCAAACUCCUACGGGAGGCAGCAGUGAGGAAUAUUGGACAAUGGGGGCAACCCUGAUCCAGCAAUGCCAUGUGUGUGAAGAAGGCCUUAGGGUUGUAAAGCACUUUAGUUGGGGAAGAAAGCUUUGAGGUUAAUAGCCUUGAGGAAGGACGUUACCCAAAGAAUAAGCACCGGCUAACUCCGUGCCAGCAGCCGCGGUAAUACGGGGGGUGCAAGCGUUAAUCGGAAUUACUGGGCGUAAAGAGUCUGUAGGUGGUUUGUUAAGUCAGAUGUGAAAGCCCAGGGCUCAACCUUGGAACUGCAUUUGAUACUGGCAAACUAGAGUACGGUAGAGGAAUGGGGAAUUUCUGGUGUAGCGGUGAAAUGCGUAGAGAUCAGAAGGAACACCAAUGGCGAAGGCAACAUUCUGGACCGAUACUGACACUGAGGGACGAAAGCGUGGGGAUCAAACAGGAUUAGAUACCCUGGUAGUCCACGCUGUAAACGAUGAGUACUAGCUGUUGGAGUCGGUGUAAAGGCUCUAGUGGCGCAGCUAACGCGAUAAGUACUCCGCCUGGGGACUACGGCCGCAAGGCUAAAACUCAAAGGAAUUGACGGGGACCCGCACAAGCGGUGGAGCAUGUGGUUUAAUUCGAUGCAACGCGAAGAACCUUACCUGGUCUUGACAUCCUGCGAACUUUCUAGAGAUAGAUUGGUGCCUUCGGGAACGCAGUGACAGGUGCUGCACGGCUGUCGUCAGCUCGUGUUG
rnacentral:rRNA from 1 species